AGGAUUUCUGCAAAGAGAAGAUCAAGAAGAUCUCAGACAGAGUCACAUUCACCAACAUUGAUCUCUGGACCAGGAACGACUUCCUAUGAUAUUCCCAUCAGCUCACUCUGGAUC